rnacentral:rRNA from 1 species
GGCAACGACGACCCAGUGCCGGAAAGUUCGUCAAACUUGGUCAUUUAGAGGAAGUAAAAGUCGUAACAAGGUUUCCGUAGGUGAACCUGCGGAAGGAUCAUUAACGAUUUUGGCCCUUCGGGGCCGAUCUCCAACCCUCUGUCUACCCUACCAUGUUGCUUUGGCGGGCCGUCGUCGCGCACCCUCGGGUGAGCACGCCGUCGGCCUCGGUUGACGAGCGCCCGCCAGAGUCCACCAAAACUCCGAUUUAUCAUGUCGUCUGAGUCUUAUAUUUAAUAUAAACAAAACUUUCAACAACGGAUCUCUUGGUUCUGGCAUCGAUGAAGAACGCAGCGAAAUGCGAUAAGUAAUGUGAAUUGCAGAAUUCAGUGAACCAUCGAAUCUUUGAACGCACAUUGCGCCCCUUGGUAUUCCGAGGGGCAUGCCUGUUCGAGCGUCAUUUCACCACUCAAGCCUAGCUUGGUAUUGGGUCGUCGUCCUGUUCAAGGGCGUGCCCGAAAAUCAGUGGCGGUGCCCAUCCGGCUUCAAGCAUAGUAACUUACAUCUUGCUUUGGAAGUUCCGGUGGGUCCACUCGCCAACAACCCCAAACUUUUCAAGGUUGACCUCGGAUCAGGUAGGAAUACCCGCUGAACUUAAGCAUAUCAAUAAGCGGAGGAAAAGAAACCAACAGGGAUUGCCUCAGUAACGGCGAGUGAAGCGGCAACAGCUCAAAUUUGAAAUCUGGCCCUUUCAGGGUCCGAGUUGUAAUUUGUAGAGGAUGCUUCGGAAUGGCCCCAGUCUAAGUUCCUUGGAACAGGAUGUCAUAGAGGGUGAGAAUCCCGUAUGUGACCGGGUUGCCGGCCCAUGUGAAGCUCCUUCGACGAGUCGAGUUGUUUGGGAAUGCAGCUCUAAGUGGGUGGUAAAUUUCAUCUAAAGCUAAAUAUUGGCCAGAGACCGAUAGCGCACAAGUAGAGUGAUCGAAAGAUGAAAAGCACUUUGGAAAGAGAGUUAAAAAGUACGUGAAAUUGUUGAAAGGGAAGCGUUUGCAACCAGACUUGCCCGCAGUUGAUCAACCGGUGUUCUCACCGGUGCACUCUUCUGCGGACAGGCCAGCAUCGGUUCAGGUGGUCGGAUAAAGGUUGGAGGAAUGUAGCUCCCCCCGGGGAGAACUUAUAGCCUCCGGCGUCAUGCGACCUACCUGGACCGAGGACCGCGCUUCGGCUAGGAUG